AGACCUGUAGAGGACCUUGGCUG
rnacentral:piRNA from 1 species